CAUUACCGAAACUCUCAUAUUUCUCUCACACUUCAAUAGCUCUAUCUCAUAAAAUUUCUCUUCAGAAACCCUAAAUCCCAAAAUUUCUCUUCGCACGAUAACCCUUCAAUCGCUAAACGCUCCUUCCCUGAACUCAAUCGUUCAACCCUUCAUAUGCUGCUGAAACCCUCAUUCGAUGGCUGAACUCAACCGCUCGCUGAACUCAAUCGAUGGUUGAACACUUGAUUCGCUCAAUAGCUCCCUCCCUAAACUGAAUCGCUCCAAAUUUCUUCUCACAAGCCAUCAAUCCUUCAGUGGCUCAACCCCUCUUCUCUAAAUCUCUUGUCACAACUAGAUUUACUGGAGGUAAGGGAGAACCGCGUUUCUCUGCAGUUAUUUUGUGGGUUUAAGCUAUUAUUUUCAGCGUUUGGUCGCAAGUUCCAUGAUUUUGUUCGAUUCAUAUUUAGAAUGCUUACUGUAGGUUUUUUUUAGAAGCUACUUGUUUCUUUCAUAUUUUCCUUAUACAACAAAAUGUUGUUUGUGAUUUUUUCUCACAAGUAUUUUGUAUUCCUGCUUUAUUUUUUAUUUUCAAGUGUCAAUAAUCUUUAGUGGGAACUGACCUAUUAUAUUAGGUUUGUAGAUGCAACAAUGUAUUUGAAUCUACCUUAUUGUGUUUCCUGUAUGAAUAAAGUGAGGAUAACUCAAAUUUCUGUGAGACUUAUAUAUGCUAUUGUUUUUUAUUCUGAUUUCUUGUCUUGUGUUGUGUGUCUCUUAAUGGCUUUUUUUACAAUUUACUAUAAUGACAUUACCCUUUGAGAAUUAUUGGCUAUGAUUGGAUUCCCUUAUCUGCCAAACUAGUUUUAACUAUGAACAAUGUAUACAUACUCUUCUGGAUUUGCAAACUCAAUGAGAUGUAGGAAAGGGAAAAAAGAUGGCAAGUUUUUCUAGCAGUGCCAGUGCUUCGAUGAUGACGAAAUGUACUGCUGACAGUUUGAAUUCUGAUUGUACGUGUGCGGGUUCUUUGACCUUCUCUCUAGAUCUUGGUGAAGCCGGUUUCUUGGGAUUAACUGGAUUACAGAAUCUAGGAAAUAUUUGCUUCAUGAACAGUGCCCUUCAAUGUGAAAUGUGUAAGUGGAUCAAGCUACUCAUGGUGGUGGCAGAGCAUAUGGUGCAUUGCUGUUGGAUGCUGGAGGUACCCUCUUGAAGUUGAUCAAUCUUGUUCAAUAUACUUAUGCCGUUAUUGGAUCAAGAUAUGGAGGUCAGGUCAGAGCGGAAUUACAACUUCUAGAAAGGAGACUGAUACAUGUAAAAUAUUUUCAGGAGUUUCAGAUGGUGUUACUACAGAAACUCCAAUCCACGUAUUUGUGCCUAUCUCUUAUUUAUGGGCAAAAUACCUCAAUUGUCCAUAAUGGUUUUUUGGGAUGAAGGGAAAAUGUAUAUUGGCAUUCCAUUACCAGAAUAUGUUUUGUACUCUUAUAAGGGAGGUUGGGAGAAUGAUGAAACUGUUGAAGAGGCUGCUGUAAGAGAAGCUAUAGAAGAAGCAGGAGUUCGAGGUGAUCUAAUGGUGAGAAAUGUGAAUUUAAUAACUUUUGAGCUUCUGCAAUAAUGCUUUUGAUUUUUCUGUAAUAUCACGAUGGAUUUAAGAGUCUGAAUGUUUUGACUUUUGAUGAUCUCAUAAUGGGAAUCUAGGUUCGGUGCAUAUAGUAAAGUCAUAUCAUCUUCGGUCCCUGUAAUUUUUUUUGGCUGAAAUGGUUCCUAUAAUAUUUACCUUUUUCACUUCAGUCGAUGUUUGCUUUGUUUCCGUCCCUAUAAAAUACUUUUUUUGGAUUUGUUUUAGUCCCUGUGAGGAUCACUAACACCACUGCCAAUAGCAGCUGCAAAAGUACUAGUUGAUCCCGAUCCUAAUCCUGUUUCCCAAACAUCCCAAUUGUUGUGAAUGUAUGAAGGAAGAUGAAUUCUAAUCCUUUUUAGUCAACAGGGUUAUUGUCAUGUUGGUGAUGUUUUGAUAAUAUUACACAACAUUGGUACCAUUGUUUUGCAGCUUGCAGUUUGAAAAUACCUUCUACCAUAGAAUUCUCAAGGCUAGGAACUUUUCUCCACUAUAAGAGAUUACUACUCUCACAUGUACUUAAAACCAGUAAAUUUUAUAUCACCGGGCUUAUUAGUUAAUAUACCCCUCUCAUGGCAAGUAACAAGAAGCAAGGCUUAAUCUCAA